UACAUGGGGUGCAAACGUUGCUCGGAAUUAUUGGGCGUAAAGCGCGCGUAGGCGGUUACUUAAGUCGGAUGUGAAAGCCCUCGGCUUAACUGAGGAAGUGCACCCGAAACUGAGUAGCUAGAGUACGAAAGAGGGUCGCGGAAUUCCCGGUGUAGAGGUGAAAUGCGCAGAUAUCAGGAAGAACACCUAUGGCGAAGGCAGCUCUCUGGGACGGUACUGACGCUGAGACGCGAAAGCGUGGGAGCGAACAGG
rnacentral:rRNA from 1 species